AUUUGCUGUAGUUACAGGAUUCUUCACCCACUUAUUGCGAAUAAGUUCUGGGAGAGGAAAGGGCCUGGAAGGCACCGCGGGGAGUGAGGCCUCUUCCUGUUUCAGUGUGACUUCCUCUUUCUGUCUCUCUCCCCUCCUCCUAAGGCCCAGCCAGGGGCCUCGCCUGGGGAAGUUGUGAACCCUCACUAUUUUCUGUUUUAUUUCUGGUCCUAUUUUCAACUCUGCUGAGAAUUUGAAAUUUCUAAUCUCUUUCCAGGAGGGAUCAGCUGGGUAAUCAAAGAGACACAGAGAAGGCUCAUUUGGGAAGUGACCUCCUUCCCUAACCUAUGGAGGAUCUAUCAUGGUGGCAUCCUGAUUUUAAAAUAUGCCUACUUCUCCUCUCCUGGAAUGAGGGUUGGCCUUAAUGGCUGGCUUCCAGAGAACAGGCUGUUGCAGAAAUGAUGAUGUUUUAAUUUUGAGGUUGGGUGGUAAAAAACAAAUAUACUGUCGUUUCUGUGGCUCUUCCAUCUUGCUCUGGGGGAAGCCAGCCACCAUGCUGUAUGAUGAUUCCAGCAACCUACAGAGAGACCCACAGGGUCAGGAGCAGAGGCUUCCUGCCUGCAGACGGAUGAGCAACUGUCCUGGGAACGGCUCCAUUGGCCCGUCAAGUCUCCAGAUGACCGCAGCCCCAGCCAAACCUUGGCCACUGUCUCCUAAGACAGCCCGAGCACAGCCACGGGGCCCAGCUCUUCCCAGACUCCUGGCCCCCAAGAAAAUGUAGGUAGUAAAUGUUUGCUUUAAACCACUAAGUUCUGAGGGUAAUUUAUUAGAUAGCAGUAGAUAAUUAAUAUGAUUUGUCUGCGUGCUUGAAUUCAUGUAGGAAAAGAAGGAGAAAGCAGGGACCCCUCUGUAAGAAAAG
rnacentral:lncRNA from 1 species